rnacentral:rRNA from 1 species
GACGAACGCUGGCGGCGUGCUUAACACAUGCCAGUCGAACGGAAAGGCCCUGCUUUUGUGGGGUGCUCGAGUGGCGAACGGGUGAGUAACACGUGAGUAACCUGCCCUUGACUUUGGGAUAACUUCAGGAAACUGGGGCUAAUACCGGAUAGGAGCUCCUGCUGCAUGGUGGGGGUUGGAAAGUUUCGGCGGUUGGGGAUGGACUCGCGGCUUAUCAGCUUGUUGGUGGGGUAGUGGCUUACCAAGGCUUUGACGGGUAGCCGGCCUGAGAGGGUGACCGGCCACAUUGGGACUGAGGUAGGGCCCAGAAUCCUACGGGAGGCAGCAGUGGGGAAUAUUGCACAAUGGGCGGAAGCCUGAUGCAGCAACGCCGCGUGCGGGAUGACGGCCUUCGGGUUGUAAACCGCUUUCGCCUGUGACGAAGCGUGAGUGACGGUAAUGGGUAAAGAAGCACCGGCUAACUACGUG